CGAAGUCAUAAAAUCCUUUCCAAGAAAAGCGAGUUAUGCGGUCCGUACCCGAAACCGACACAGGUGGUCAAGUAGAAUAUACUAAGGCGCUCGAGUGAAUCACGGUUAAGGAACUAGGCAAAUUAGUCUCGUAACUUCGGAAUAAGAGACUCCCUCGCAAGAGGGACGCAGAGAAAUGGCGGUGGCGACUGUUUAUCAAAAACACAUGGCUAUGCUAAAUCGAAAGAUGAUGUAUAUGGCCUGACACCUGCCCGGUGCUGGAAGGUUAAAAGGAGAUGUCAGCGCAAGCGAAGCAUUGAAUUGAAGCCCCAGUAAACGGCGGCCGUAACUAUAACGGUCCUAAGGUAGCGAAAUUCCUUGUCGGGUAAGUUCCGACCUGCACGAAUGGUGUAACGAUCUCCGCACUGUCUCAACCGUGAGCUCGGUGAAAUUGUAGUCUCGGUGAAGAUGCCGAGUACCCGCAACGGGACGGAAAGACCCUGUGAACCUUCACUAUAGCUUAGCAUUGGAGUUGAUUAAACGAUGUGUAGGAUAGGUGGGAGACUUUGAAGCGGCGUCGCCAGGCGUCGUGGAGUCAUCCUUGAAAUACCACCCUUUGUUUACUUGAUUUCUAACCUCUGGGACAGUGCUUGGCGGGUAGUUUGACUGGGGUGGUCGCCUCCGAAAGUGUAUCGGAGGCUUCCAAAGGUACGCUCAGUACGGUCGGUAAUCGUACGUAGAGUGCAAUGGCACAAGCGUGCUUGACUGUGAGACAUACAAGUCAAUCAGGUACGAAAGUAGGGCAUAGUGAUCCGGUGGUUCCGCAUGGAAGGGCCAUCGCUCAAAGGAUAAAAGGUACUCCGGGGAUAACAGGCUGAUCACUCCCAAGAGCUCACAUCGACGGAGUGGUUUGGCACCUCGAUGUCGGCUCGUCACAUCCUGGGGCUGGAGAAGGUCCCAAGGGUUCGGCUGUUCGCCGAUUAAAGUGGCACGCGAGCUGGGUUCAGAACGUCGUGAGACAGUUCGGUCCCUAUCUGUUGUGGGCGUUUGAAGCUUGAGAGGACCUUUCUCUAGUACGAGAGGACCGGGAAGGACGCACCUCUGGUGUAUCUGUUGUGGCGCCAGCUGCAGUGCAGAGUAUCUAUGUGCGGAUGAGAUAAGCGCUGAAAGCAUCUAAGCGCGAAACUCGCCUCAAGAUGAGGCUUCAUUGAGAGUCGUCGAAGAUUACGACGUUGAUAGGCUACAGGUGUAAAGGCAGCAAUGUCAAAGCCAAGUAGUACUAAUUACUCGAAAGCUUAUAAAU
rnacentral:rRNA from 1 species